ACGCUCGACACCUACGGGGGCAGCAGUGGGGAAUAUUGCACAAUGGAGGAAACUCUGAUGCAGCGACGCCGCGUGAGGGAAGAAGGUCUUCGGAUUGUAAACCUCUGUUGUCAGGGACGAUGAUGACGGUACCUGACGAGGAAGCCACGGCUAACUACGUGCCUGCAGCCGCGGUAAUCUGAGCGGGCUGGCAAGGC
rnacentral:rRNA from 1 species